rnacentral:misc_RNA from 1 species
UCUCUUAAGUUCUUGAUCUAUGGCAGGACUGGAUGGAUCGGGGGUCUACUUGGGAAGUUGUGUGAGAAACAAGGGAUUCCCUAUGAAUAUGGAAGGGGACGCUUGGAAGAUCGAUCAUCGCUUUUGUCAGAUAUUCAGAAUGUUAGGCCAACUCAUGUUUUUAAUGCUGCUGGGGUUACUGGUAGACCUAAUGUUGAUUGGUGCGAAUCUCACAAGACAGAAACAAUUCGCACCAAUGUGGCUGGAACCUUAACAUUAGCAGAUGUUUGCAGAGAGCAUAACAUCCUGAUGGUGAAUUAUGCUACUGGCUGUAUAUUUGAGUAUGAUGCUACUCAUCCAGAGCAUUCUGGCAUUGGGUUUACUGAGGAAGACACACCCAAUUUCACUGGUUCUUUUUAUUCAAAGACCAAGGCUAUGGUGGAGGAGCUCUUGAAAGAAU